CCCAAUAUGCUUAAUGUUGCAACUCCAUAGGCAAAUGGAAUGCCUUACCAUAAACCAAAAUAUAUGGCGACGUCCCAAUAGGAGUCUUGUAAGCUGUUUCACAAGGCCAAAGUGCAUCAUCCAACUUCUCGGCCCAAUCUUUGCACUGCCCAUUCACAGUCUUCUGAAGUAUCUGCUUAAUCUCCCGGUUGGACACCUCCACUUGUCUACUCGUUUGGGGAUGGUACGCAUUGGCCACC
rnacentral:lncRNA from 1 species